AGCGGAACCCAAUAUUACUGAGACGUCUGACAUGUUAUAGUGUAACACACAACAUUCUCUGUAUCUGGAAGUGUCCUGUGCUCGACAUGUGUAGUAAAAAGCAGACUCCCUUGAAACUGUUCUAGCUUCUCCUCCAUCAUGAGUGGCUCAAAGCCAGACAUCCUGUGGUCACCCCACCACCCAGACCGCUAUGUCAUUUGUGACUCUGAACUGGGACUGUAUCGUAUUGGACCAGUUGGCAACGCUGAAACGAAGGCUGGCACCCUCCCGCUCUCCGAAGAGACUGCUGCUACACUACUGGCCAUUAACUCUGACACUCCUUAUAUGAAAUGUGUGGCCUGGUACCCGAAGCAUGAGCCUGAGUGUUUACUUGCUGUUGGCCAAGCUAAUGGGAGAGUUGUGCUCACCAGUUUAGGCCAGAGCCACAACUCCACAUGUAAAGAACUGGUGGGGAAAGAGUUUGUACCCAAACAUGCCCGUCAGUGCAACACUUUAGCUUGGAACCCUGUGGACAGCAACUUGCUCGCUGCCGGGUUAGACAAGCACCGGGCAGACUUCUCUGUUCUCAUAUGGGACAUAAGCAGCAAGUUUGCUCCAGAGAGCAGUGUUGUAGCUGAGAAGAUUCGUCUCUCGUCUGUGGAUUUAGACUCAAGCACUGUGGUGACCAAGCCUCUGUAUGAGUUGGGGCAGAAUGAUGCUUGCUUGUCACUCUGCUGGCUGCUUCGUGACCCAAAGUUGCUGUUGGCUGGCAUGCACAGAAACCUUGCGAUAUUUGACCUGAGAAACACAAGCCAGAAAACAUUUGUCAACACCAAGGCCAUCCAGGGGGUGACAGUCGACCCACAUUUCCAUGACCGCGUGGCCUCUUUCUUUGAGGGGCAGGUGGCCAUUUGGGAUCUGCGCAAGUUUGAAAAGCCUGUGCUCACGCUCUGUGAGCAGCCUAAGCCUCUUACAAAGGUGGCAUGGUGUCCAACUCGGACUGGCCUGCUGGCAACACUGACACGUGACAGCAACAUCAUCCGACUGUACGACAUGCAACACACUCCCACGCCCAUUGGUGAUGAGACGGAGCCCACUAUUAUUGAGCGAAGUGUGCAACCCUGUGAAAGCCAGAUCGGCAGCUUUGCCUGGCACCCAUCUUCUCAAAACCGCAUGGUAGUGGUGUCGCCGGUCAAUCGUGUCAUGACAGAUUUCACUGUUUUUGAACGCAUCUCGCUGGCCUGGAGCUCCACCACCUCGCUCAUGUGGGCGUGUGGUAGACACUUAUAUGACUGUGUUGAGGAUUCUGUUGAUGGCGUGAAGAGCAUGACUGAGAAAGACAUCGCCACUAAGAUGAGGCAAAGGGCUCAGUCCAGGUAUGGACACGAUACCAUCCAAGUGUGGAGAAACCACCUGCUGGCAGGAGGGAAUGAUCCCCAGCUCAAGUCUUUAUGGUAUGAUCUGUUCUAUAUGAAGCAGUGUUCAGAGGAUAUCGAGCUGAAGCUGCAGGGUAACAAGCAGUCUUUGGUUUACUCUGGUAUCAAGAACAUUGUCAAGACCAGCUCAGGGACAACGGAGAGCCGACGGUGCUGGAGUGGCUCGGACCGCCAGACAGAUGUGCUUCGGUACCACAGUGAGGAGCGAUGUCUCGCUUUGCAGCUGUGUGGUUGGAUCUGUCGGGGUCCUGACUUGGAUGUAGAGACCUUCCUGCGGUCGCUCGAGCAGGAACAUGAGUGGGAACAUGCGGCCGCCAUUGCUCUCUUUAACCUUGACAUCCGUCGGUCAAUCCAGAUCCUCAACAAGGGAGCCACCUCUGAGAAGGGUGACCUAAACCUGAACGUGGUUGCCAUGGCUCUGUCAGGCUACACUGACGAGAAGUCGUCCCUGUGGAGAGAGAUGUGCAGCUCUCUGAGGCUGCAGCUGAAGAACCCCUACCUCUGCAUCAUGUUUGCCUUCCUCACCAGUGAGCCUGGAGUCUAUGAUGGCGUGCUGUAUGAGAGCAGCGUGGCUGUCCGAGACCGAGUAGCCUUUGCCUGUAUGUUCCUCAGUGAUGCACAGCUCCCACGAUACAUUGACAAACUGAGUAACGAACUAAAGGAGGCAGGAAAUCUGGAGGGCAUCCUCCUGACGGGGCUGACUAAAGACGGCGUAGAUCUUGUGGAGAGCUAUGUGGACCGAACUGGAGAUGUUCAGACUGCAAGUUUCUGUAUGCUGAAGGGCUCCUCUGGUGAAGUGUUAAAAGACCCUCGAGUCCAGUGCUGGAUCGAAAACUACCGCAACCUACUGGAUGCGUGGAGAUUCUGGCACAAACGGGCAGAAUUUGAUAUUCAUAGAGGGAAGCUGGACCCCAGCUCUAAACCAUUAGCUCAGCAAUGGUGUCUUCCUUGGCCUUCGCCCAUGAAGCCCUGUUUGGUUUAAUGUGUGGCGUAUGGUAAUUGUUGAAACGAUGACCCCUGACUGUUCCAGGUUGGCCUUCAGGUCUGUAAAUGUUUGACGUGGUGUUUUUUCCACCAUUCGCACCAACCUUCGAAGACUUCUGUCAUCAAUUUUUCUCUUCCCCCCACGUCUAGGGAGGUUCUUGACAGUUCCAUGCUUGGCAAACAUUACGCACUGUUGAAACAGGGAUACCAAGGUCUUUGGAGAUGGCUUUAUACCCUUUGGAGAUCUUGUGUUUGCUAAUUAUCACACUUAUAUUGUCCUCAGACAGCUCCUUUGUCUUCACCAUUGUGACAAAGGAACAGGGGAUAACAGAUGGCUUUUUAAAACACUGAAGUCAUCAUUCAUUGGCUAAUUUAUGUCACAUGGGCACAGACAAUUUCUCACAGGUGAUUCUCAUUUGUGAUUUACCACAGGUGAGUUACAAUGUGUUUCCAUACUGAUUUACAGAAAAGGGUCCCAAUACCAGUGACACAGAAAGCUUUUAGUUUUUCAAUUUUUUCCUCCCAUUGUUUAUUGUUUUAAAUUGUUGUUUAUCAUUUGCUCUUCUGCAUUAAACACGAGUUCUCUAUAGAAAAAAAAAUGUUUCACACGAUUAAUUUUUUUCAGAAGAUAUUCCACAUUAUGUACUUAAACUUCAUGGGUGCCAAUAAUGGUGAGCAGGACUGUAUAUGUGUAUAUAUGGGGUAUAUAUGUAUAUUUAUGUGUAUAUGUGAACUUAACUGAACCAGAACUUUGGCUUGGUGCCAUUGCCCGGAUGUAUGUGGGGAAAAACCAAAGAGCUGGUUGUGGACUUCCACUGGAGCAAAGCCACUCCCCCACCACCGGUGAACACCCAGGGAACGGACAUUGAGAUAGUGGACUCUUACAGGUACCUGGGUGUUCACCUAAACAAGAACUUGGACUGGACUGACAACACUCAGGCACUAUACAGGAAGGGUCAAAGCCGACUCCAUCUGCUGUCAUCAGUCAUGGACAACACCUCCCACCCCCUGCAUGACACUGACAGAGCCCUGGAAAGCUCCUUCAGCGCCAGGCUUCUUCACCCACGUUGCGAAAAGGAGCGGUACAGCAGGUAUUUGUGAGCUGCAACUUCUGUGGGAAGUCCAUUUCCUACAGCUGCUCAGCAGUACCUCACCAGGGUCGUGGCUUCAGCCAGUACGGUGUCAGUGGCUCACCCACCAAGUCAAAAGUCACUAGCUGCCCUGGCUGCAGGA